GGAGGCCGCCGCCGCCCCCACCUGCCCACCUGCGCCGGGCUCACCUGCCGCCGCGUCCGAGCGGCGUUCGCCGGUGCCCACAGCGCUCUAGGGCAACGAGGGGGUGGGUCUGCGGUGCUGAUGGAAAAAAACCAAAAGACCUCUCCGGAAACACACACACAAAUCCACGCUGUAAAUCAGCCUGGACACACGACCCAGCUCGAUACUUACUUCCAGUAGGUUCCAAAAAGUGUAAAGGCAGGGCACUCCCUUCGGCUUGCUGCCUCCCACCUGGGCACCGGCGGCACUGGCUACUCCCCGACCAGCCCGCCCGGAGCCUUUCGCGCAGGUUGUGCAACCGCGUGGCGACGCCCGGAGAGAUCAUCCUAACUUGGCUUAAACCCCCACCCCAUCCCCAACAUCGCUAUUUUAAGUUAUUCUUCUUUCUGGCAAUGCAGGCAGUGGUCAGUCAGCAGUUUGCUGACUCUUACCUUGAGACGCUGUUAAUUCUCUUUCAUGUCCUUAAAAUCCAAAGCCAAGGAUGCAACGCACGCAAGUCCAGAAGCUUUUCCUUGACUCCCCCAGCCUCAGCUCUGCCGGCUUUUCCUUCCAAAGAGAUCAGGAGGGGAUGGCGGCUUAGUAGCCCUCGCCCUGGGGGCGCCUCCAAAUCUUCACGCCGGUGGAUACAGAGACCGGGACAACCUUCCCGGCAUCCGAAGCCCCCUCGGUCAACUUGGCUUUCUAUUUAAUUUUCUUCUUUAACCCCACAGGCCCGUCAUCAAUUCCCCGGCAUCAGGCAGGAAAGAAGCGGAUAUUCUCAGUUGUGGCCGCUCCUCUCUCUUUCUCUUGACAGUACCCCCUCCUCCUUUUCGCCUCUUAAUUUGGAAAAUCUUUUACUCUCUGCUCGGAUGAGGUGGGGGGCUGGGGGGACCAAGGAGGAGAGGUGCUGUAAGGAGAGCCACUCCGAGGCACAGCUUCAGAAACGCAUCUCCCUGGGCAGCCCUUGGCGAAGGUGUCUCCGCGGAGGAAACUUUGAGGGGAGGCAGCCGGGCUU
rnacentral:lncRNA from 1 species